rnacentral:rRNA from 1 species
ACGUCGCGAGAAUUCCACUGAACCUUAUCAUUUAGAGGAAGGAGAAGUCGUAACAAGGUUUCCGUAGGUGAACCUGCGGAAGGAUCAUUGUCGAAUGUCGCUCGUUAAAAUGACUUGUGAACACGUAUUAACAUCCUAGGGUCGGUGACACAGACUAAUGUUUGUGAAUCCUAUGCCCCGCUAACAGACGUUUAUGUUGGUUCUAAUGGGACCUUGUAGAUGUCUUGUUGGCAACAAAACAAACCCAGGCACGGAACGUGCCAAGGAAAAUGGUUCAUAAGAAGGGUGUGGCUCGUGAUGUUUCAUUUUCUAUGUACGCUUGAGCCAUCCAUCUUUCUAAUCAUAAACGACUCUCGGCAACGGAUAUCUCGGCUCAUGCAUCGAUGAAGAACGUAGCAAAAUGCGAUACUUGGUGUGAAUUGCAGAAUCCCGUGAACCAUCGAGUUUUUGAACGCAAGUUGCGCCCAAAGCCAUUCGGUCGAGGGCACGUCUGCCUGGGCGUCACGCAUCGCAUCGCCCCCUUCAUGCCUUGUCAACUGGCAGGCUUGUUGUCGGGGGCGGAGAUUGGUCUCCCAUGCCCGAUGCAUGGUUGACCUAAACGGAAGUUCUCUUCGAUUGAUGCACGACUAUUGGUGGUUGAAAAGACCUUCGUUUGGAGUCGUGUCACAAGUCGUAAGCAGAAAACUUCAUUAAAAGACCCUGACAUAUUGUCUUGUGUUGAUGCUUCGAACGCGACCCCAGGUCAGGCGGGACUACCCGCUGAGUUUAAGCAUAUCAAUAAGCGGA